UCUUUAUCUCACUCUCAUGGCGCUCCUGAAGGGCUGAGGGAAAAACACAGCGAUGUAAAGGGGCAGCGUUCUCUGCCUGGAGGCGCAGUAACUCUCCAUCCACAGACAUGGAGAUGGUAGCGGAGGAUUCAGCCUGCAGCCCCUUGCCAUCCUUUAGCUCUUUGAUUUCAUGUUGUAGCUCCUCUAUCUGAGUACAUAACUAAACGAGGGAAUGCAAUAAAUGAAAUAUAUUUCUGUAAUAUAAUCAUGAAAUGUGAUCAGGAAGGUGGGGCCUUUAUGUUAUACAAGCUAGACAAAGGAUAGGCCUAUAUCAAAUCUUAAUUUACAAGGACAUUCCCCUCUUCUGAACCAGUGGCAUGUGCGGGAGCAGGGGACAUCCAGUACCUUGGACAGCUCCUGCAUCAGGGUGCUGUUUUGCAGUCUGAAGUCAUCCUCUUGGCUGUGCAGCUUGCCUUGCAGCAUCUCGUUCUCGCUGAGUAAUGCAUCCACCUCCUGAGCGCACACACCAGACAACCAGUCCAUGUAAACAGGAAGUAGGCACUCUCACACAGGAUGACGACUUUAUCAUCCGCACAUUUCUAGAUUGUUAGCGUGUUUUUUGUAAGAGUAUUCAAUGUACUUUGCUGAUUAGAAAUAAUGGUGAAUAAAUUGGAGGACAUUGCUCUA